rnacentral:miRNA from 1 species
AAUGUCAUCAAUGUCUUCUCUUUCGAAUCGGUGCAGUAGCAAAGAAUUGGAGUCAUGGAUUUCCAACCCAGAAAUGAGGAUGGUGAGCCUUCCUGGUUUAGUGUGGGACUCU